rnacentral:tRNA from 1 species
GCGAUGGUAGCUCAGCCGUAGAGCGCCCCUGAUCAGGGAGGUUGCUGGUUCAACUCCAGCCCGUCGCCCCA